rnacentral:rRNA from 1 species
UACGGAUGGUGCAAGCGUUAUACGGUAUCACUGGGUUUAAAGGGUGCGUAGGCGGCUAAAUAAGUCAGAGGUGAAAGCUUGCAGCUUAACUGCGAAAUUGCCUUUGAUACUGUAUAGCUUGAAAGGAGCUGAGGUCAGCAGAAUGUGGCAUGUAGCGGUGAAAUGCAUAGAUAUGCCAUAGAAUACCAAUUGCGAAGGCAGCUGGCCGGGCUUACUCUGAAGUUGAGGUACGAAAGCUUGGGGAUCGAACAGG